rnacentral:other from 1 species
GAUCCCCUGCGAUGUACGUGAUUAACUAUGAUUUUUUGUUCCAACACCUUAAAUACGGGAGCCCUCCCUUGUACGUGGUGUGCGUGUCCACCAGUACCCUGAAAGGGGAGUGGCGGAAGGCCUGAAGCUACAACAGGGUGCCCACCUUUAACAUAAGGUUCAAAAAACAGUUAACACGGCAUAGGCGGGGGGUUG